rnacentral:lncRNA from 1 species
CUCAUCUUAACCUAAUCUUAACCUAAUUAAUCAUAGUUGCAAAAACCCAUUUCCAAAUAAGGUCACAUUUUUAGGUACGGGUUAGGACUUAAACAUAGCUUUUUUGGGAGGGACACAGUUCAACCCAUAACAUCAACCUCUUCUACAUGUUGAUGUUAGUUACUUCCCUUUUCUUUGAGCUCUUUUCAUGAUCAUCUGUUUCAUCCUCCCCACCCCACCUCUCACACCCUUUCUUCUGUUUGUAUUUCCUUGCCGGCUUUUAUCCUCAGCCUGAAAAUAAGUUUCCACCCUUGUCUCCCCAACAUUGCCUAACUUCUCAAAGGUUUCCUCUUUGUUUGAUUAUUUUGCUCUGGCAACUUAUCAUCUCACUAUUUAACUGAAAAUUCUUUUAUUUAUUAUUUAUUUAUUUAUUUAUUUAGAGAUGGAGUUUUGCUC